AGAGAAGGCUACCUCGAGCUAUCGUGGCGGUCGGUUGCACUUUGCUGGGAGCUUUUGCAGAUUUAGACACCGUGAGCGCUGUGAUGUUGAUCCGAGACAUCUAUGUCGCCCUCGCAGAGAGGAGGUUUCACAACGCUGGAAACAUCGUGGAUUAUUACUUAUAUGCAAAAAAAUACAGCGGGCACAUCGGUGACCAAGUAUGCGGAGGAGAAAUUAAAAUUACAUUGCCCAAUAUAUGGACUAAGUGUGUCAACGAAAACUUGGCUGGGUGCGUGAAAGGAGAUAGAGUCAGUGUAAG